rnacentral:tRNA from 1 species
GGCUGGUGGCGCAACGGUAGCGCGUCUGACUCCAGAUCAGAAGGUUGCGUUUCAAAUGACGUCUGGGUCA